rnacentral:rRNA from 1 species
GAUGAACGCUGGCGGCGUGCCUAAUACAUGCAAGUCGAGCGAACAGACGAGGAGCUUGCUCCUCUGACGUUAGCGGCGGACGGGUGAGUAACACGUGGAUAACCUACCUAUAAGACUGGGAUAACUUCGGGAAACCGGAGCUUAUACCGGAUAACAUGUUGAACCGCAUGGUUCAACAGUGAAAGACGGUCUUGCUGUCACUUAUAGAUGGAUCCGCGCCGCAUUAGCUAGUUGGUAAGGUAACGGCUUACCAAGGCAACGAUGCGUAGCCGACCUGAGAGGGUGAUCGGCCACACUGGAACUGAGACACGGUCCAGACUCCUACGGGAGGCAGCAGUAGGGAAUCUUCCGCAAUGGGCGAAAGCCUGACGGAGCAACGCCGCGUGAGUGAAGAAGGUCUUCGGAUCGUAAAACUCUGUUAUUAGGGAAGAACAAAUGUGUAAGUAACUAUGCACGUCUUGACGGUACCUAAUCAGAAAGCCACGGCUAACUACGUG